rnacentral:rRNA from 1 species
AUUGAACGCUGGCGGCAGGCUUAACACAUGCAAGUCGAGCGAGCGGCGGACGGGUGAGUAAUUUCUGGGAAACUGCCUGAUGGAGGGGGCUAACUACUGGAAACGGUAGCUAAUACCGCAUAACCUCCGCUGUGCCCAGAUGGUAUUAGCUAGUGGGUGGGGUAAUGGCUCACCUAGGCGACGAUCCCUAGCUGGUCUGAGAGGAUGACCAGGCACACUGGAACUGAGACACGGUCCAGACUCCUACGGGAGGCAGCAGUGGGGAAUAUUGCACAAUGGGCGCAAGCCUGAUGCAGCCAUGCCGCGUGUGUGAAGAAGGCCUUCGGGUUGUAAAGCACUUUCAGCGAGGAGGCGUUACUCGCAGAAGAAGCACCGGCUAACUCCGUGCCAGCCGCCGCGGUAAUUC